rnacentral:tRNA from 4 species
GGAGAGGUGGCAGAGUGGUCGAAUGUACCUGACUCGAAAUCAGGCGUGGGCGCAAGCUCACCGUGGGUUCGAAUCCCACCCUCUCCGCCA